UGAAUACGAGAUGCUACGGCGUCGAAGCAGUGUAUGUCAGACUUCCAAGAAAAGCUCGCAAUGUCAUAAAUAAAGAAUGCCUGUACCAUAACCGACACAGGUGGGUAGGUAGAGUAUACUAAGGGGCGCGAGAUAACUCUCUCUAAGGAACUCGGCAAAAUAACUCCGUAACUUCGGGAGAAGGAGUGCCUUCUAUUAGAAGGUUGCAAUAACAAGAUCCAAGCAACUGUUUAUCAAAAACACAGGUCUCCGCUAAGUCGUAAGACGAUGUAUGGGGGCUGACGCCUGCCCAGUGCCAGAAGGUUAAAGAAGUUGGUUAGCUUUGGCGAAGCUGAUGACUGAAGCCCUGGUGAACGGCGGCCGUAACUAUAACGGUCCUAAGGUAGCGAAAUUCCUUGUCGGGUAAGUUCCGACCCGCACGAAAGGCGUAAUGAUUUGGAUACUGUCUCGGAGAGGGACUCUCUGAAAUAGACUUGUCUGUGAAGAUGCGGACUACCUGCACCAGGACAGAAAGACCCUAUGAAGCUUUACUGUAACUUGAAAUUGAAAUUGGACUUUAUUUGCGCAGCAUAGGUGGAAGGCGUUGAGAUUACUCUUGCGGGAGUACUGGAGCCAUCAGUGAGAUACCACUCCUAUAAUGUUAGAUUUCUAACUUUGGAUCAUGAUCUGGUCAAAGAACAGUUUCAGGCGGGCAGUUUGACUGGGGCGGUCGCCUCCCAAAUGGUAACGGAGGCGUACAAAGGUUUCCUCUGAACGGGUAGAAAUCGUAUCUAGAGUGUAAAGGCAUAAGGAAGCUUGACUGUGAGACCUACAAGUCGAGCAGGGACGAAAGUCGGUCUUAGUGAUCUGACGGUGCUGAGUGGAAAGGCCGUCACUCAACGGAUAAAAGUUACUCUAGGAUAACAGGCUGAUCUCCCCCAAGAGUUCACAUCGACGGGGAGGUUUGGCACCUCGAUGUCGGCUCAUCGCAUCCUGGGGCGGUAGUACGUCCCAAGGGUUGGGCUGUUCGCCCAUGAAAGCGGUACGCGAGCUGGGUUCAGAACGUCGUGAGACAGUUCGGUCCAUAUCCGGUGUAGGCGUUAGAAUAUUGAGAGGAGCCUUCUUUAGUACGAGAGGACCGAGAAGGACAUACCUCUGGUGUACCAGUUAUCGUGCCAACGGUAAACGCUGGGUAGCUAUGUAUGGAGAGGAUAACCGCUGAAAGCAUCUAAGUGGGAAGCCCACCUCAAGAUGAGUAUUCUCAUC
rnacentral:rRNA from 1 species